rnacentral:rRNA from 1 species
CGGGGUGCAGCAGGCGCGAAAACUUUGCAAUACACGAAAGUGUGACAGGGCUAUCCCGAGUGCCAUCCGCUGAGGAAGGCUUUUACCCAGUCUAGAACGCUGGGGGAAUAAGGAGAGGGCAAGUCUGGUGUCAGCCGCCGCGGUAAUACCAGCUCUCCGAGUGGUGUGGAUGUUUAUUGGGCCUAAAGCAUCCGUAGCUGGCUAAGUUAGUCCCUUGUUAAAUCCACCGAAUUAAUCGUUGGAUUGCGGGGGAUACUGCUUGGCUAGGGGACGAGAGAGGCAGACGGUAUUUCCGGGGUAGGGGUGAAAUCCUAUAAUCCCGGGAAGACCACCAGUGGCGAAGGCUGUCUGCUAGAACGCGCCCGACGGUGAGGGAUGAAAGCUGGGGGAGCGAACCGGAUUAGAUACCCGGGUAGUCCCAGCUGUAAACGAUGCAGGCUAGGUGUUUGGACGGCCACGUGCCGUUCUAGUGCCGCAGGGAAGCUGUUAAGCCUGCCGCCUGGGGAGUACGAUCGCAAGAUUGAAACUUAAAGGAAUCGGCGGGCGAGCA